rnacentral:rRNA from 1 species
UACGUAGGGUGCAGGCGUUUAAUCGGAAUUACUGGGCGUAAAGCGUGCGCAGGCGGUCUUUUAAGUCAGAUGUGAAAUCCCCGGGCUUAACCUGGGAACUGCGUUUGAAACUGGAAGGCUAGAGUGUGGCAGAGGGGGGGUGGAAUUCCACGUGUAGCAGUGAAAUGCGUAGAGAUGUGGAGGAACACCGAUGGCGAAGGCAGCCCCCCUGGGCUAACACUGACGCUCAUGCACGAAAGCGUGGGGAGCAAACAGG